rnacentral:rRNA from 1 species
UACGUAGGGACCGAGCGUUGUCCGGAUUCAUUGGGCGUAAAGAGCUCGUAGGCGGCUGUUCAAGUCGAACGUGAAAACUCGGAGCUCAACUCCGAGCCUGCGUUCGAUACUGGACGGCUAGAGUCUGGUAGGGGGAUCUGGAAUUCCUGGUGUAGCGGUGGAAUGCGCAGAUAUCAGGAGGAACACCGAUGGCGAAGGCAGUUCUCUGGGCCGUAACUGACGCUGAGGAGCGAAAGCGUGGGGAGCGAACAGG